rnacentral:rRNA from 1 species
AGAGUCCUACGGGGCGCAGCAGUGAGGGAUAUUGGUCAAUGGGGGAAACCCUGAACCAGCAACGCCGCGUGAGGGAAGACGGUUUUCGGAUUGUAAACCUCUGUCCUCUGUGAAGAUAAUGACGGUAGCAGAGGAGGAAGCUCCGGCUAACUACGUGCCAGCAGCCGCGGUAAUACGUAGGGAGCAAGCGUUGUCCGGAUUUACUGGGUGUAAAGGGCGUGUAGGCGGGGAAGCAAGUCAGAUGUGAAAACCACGGGCUCAACCUGUGGCCUGCCUUUGAAACUGUUUUUCUUGAGUGCUGGAGG